GGGCAUGUAGUGUAGGGGUUAUCGCGUCCGCUUUGCAUCAAUCAGCUUUCUUUCUGCUGUGUGUCUUGCGGAAGGUCUCCGGUUCAAUUCCGGACUUGUCCA